GACGAACGCUGGCGGCGUGCUUAACACAUGCAAGUCGAACGGAAAGGCCCUGCUUUUGUGGGGUGCUCGAGUGGCGAACGGGUGAGUAACACGUGCGUAACCUGCCCUUGUCUUUGGGAUAACUUCCGGAAACUGGGGCUAAUACCGGAUAGGAGCUCCUGCUGCAUGGUGGGGGUUGGAAAGUUUCGGCGGUUGGGGAUGGACUCGCGGCUUAUCAGCUUGUUGGUGGGGUAGUGGCUUACCAAGGCUUUGACGGGUAGCCGGCCUGAGAGGGGGACCGGCCACAUUGGGACUGAGAGACGGCCCAGACUCCUACGGGAGGCAGCAGUGGGGAGUAUUGCACAAUGGGCGGAAGCCUGAUGCAGCAACGCCGCGUGCGGGAUGACGGCCUUCGGGUUGUAAACCGCUUUCGCCUGUGACGAAGCGUGAGUGACGGUAAUGGGUAAAGAAGCACCGGCUAACUACGUG
rnacentral:rRNA from 1 species